rnacentral:rRNA from 1 species
AUUGAACGCUGGCGGCAUGCUUUACACAUGCAAGUCGAACGGUAACAGGCCGCAAGGUGCUGACGAGUGGCGAACGGGUGAGUAAUGCAUCGGAACGUGCCCAGUCGUGGGGGAUAACGCAGCGAAAGCUGCGCUAAUACCGCAUACGAUCUAUGGAUGAAAGCGGGGGACCGUAAGGCCUCGUGCGAUUGGAGCGGCCGAUGUCAGAUUAGGUAGUUGGGGGGGUAAAGGCUCACCAAGCCAACGAUCUGUAGCUGGUCUGAGAGGACGACCAGCCACACUGGGACUGAGACACGGCCCAGACUCCUACGGGAGGCAGCAGUGGGGAAUUUUGGACAAUGGGCGCAAGCCUGAUCCAGCAAUGCCGCGUGCAGGAAGAAGGCCUUCGGGUUGUAAACUGCUUUUGUACGGAACGAAACGGCUCUGGUUAAUACCCGGGGCACAUGACGGUACCGUAAGAAUAAGCACCGGCUAACUACGUGCCAGCCGCCGCCGUAAGAC